rnacentral:lncRNA from 12 species
UAGACAGACUGAAGUGGAGAGGAAGGCGAACUCAACUAGGAGUGCUGGUGUCAAAGGGACAGGCCGACCACAGCAAGCUGACACCCGGUGGCUGUGGUUCCUUCCACCACAGCCCACUAUCAGAGGCUGAAGUGAGACGAUCGGACUUGGCCCAACCUUGUGGUAGCCAAGAUUCACCCCGGCCUUGCUGGCCACACCCCUUGCUCAGUCUACAAGGCAAGAGGUGUUCUGAACCACAGACACGGAUUACACACCAGAUUCCAACGCAAGGGUGAGCCGUUGCUUUCCUGUUUCCUGUUUGGGUCACAGGCCUCCUUCAGCUAUUCUGGAAUGUUAGAACACGUAAUCUGUUUUGAGUUUGGAAAGGUCCGAUGCUCCUUUAUGUGGGGGUGUUCACUUAUCAGAAAAGAAAAAAAAAAGCUAGCCUCCUGCUUUCAGCAGUGAAGUGUGGAAAUGUAGCACAUCCUACUCUGACAUUUCUUUUCUGCCUCCUGAGCCCCAGUCGCUAGAUUGUGGUUUCCAGGCUGUUUUGCUUUUUAUUUCUUUCUAAUUGGUUUUACUCUUCAUGCCAAGUGUCUUAAGUCACAUUAACUAAAGAUGUAAUGUUUUUGAAGUAACAAGGAAAGCUGGUAGCAGCCUCCUGCCAGGAUGGACAGAUGGAUUUAUAAGGGCCUGGGUGAGGCCCUCUUGCUGAUACUCCUGGAAUGGUGGGUUUUGACAGCGCUGUCCCAUACCUCCAUGGCUUUCAUCCCCUAAUCACAGAGGGUUAAAUCCACUGCUACCUAUUUACCUCUCAGAGAAAGCUUGACACCUCCUCAGAUUUCCCAGACUUCUCUUUUCUGACCCUAGCUACAGUGACUAUCCUGGGAGCAGCUGGCAUACGAGGCUUUGAGCUUCAACUCUGGCCAUGUCUCCUGGCAAUUACCUCUACCUGGGACCCAAAGCAGUUUGCAUGACCACUAAAGGGUUAGCUGAUAGCUGUGAUUGGCCAUUGAGAAGAGGGAGGAGUAAUGACUUCAAUGACCCCAGAAGAUUCCAGAGCAGAGAACAGCAGCAGUCUGGCUUUGUUCUUUGGUACCAAGUGCCCCCGUCAACCACUGCAGUAAGUACUCGUCUGCCUUUGGGCCCUAUUAGCCCACACAGUAAACCCCGCUGGAAAGUAGGGCUGAGCUGUGAGUGCUAUUGGUACUGUCUCCAUUCUAUGCUGGUUCUUUUAGACUUUGUGUUUCUAUGGGGUCUACUCGUUGGUUUCCACUUUGAUUUCUCCAAUAUUGAAGAUAUAUUAUAUUGGCUUCUCUCCAGCUCUCAGAAUGCUCUCUUCUUUAGUUCUAUUCCUAUGAUCACUUGCUGUCCACUUGGCCAGCUACCCAUAUUGUCAUGA